rnacentral:rRNA from 1 species
CCUACGGGUGGCAGCAGUGAGGAAUAUUGGUCAAUGGGCGUAAGCCUGAACCAGCCAAGUCGCGUGAGUGAUGAAGGUUCUAUGGAUCGUAAACCUCUUUUGUAAGGGAAUAAAGUUCGGGACGUGUCCCGUUUUGUAUGUACCUUAUGAAUAAGGAUCGGCUAACUCCGUGCCAGCAGCCGCGGUAAUACGGAGGAUCCGAGCGUUGUCCGGAUUUAUUGGGUUUAAAGGGUGCGUAGGCGGACUUUUAAGUCAGCGGUGAAAGUCUGUGGCUUAACCAUAGAAUUGACGUUGAUACUGGGAGGCUAGAGUAUGUUUGAGGAAGGCGGAAUGCGUGGUGUAGCGGUGAAAUGCGUAGAUAUCAGGCAGAACACCGAUGGCGAAGGCAGCCUGCUAAGCCAUGACUGACGCUGAUGCACGAAAGCGUGGGGAGCAAACAGGAUUAGAUACCCUUGUAGUC